AAGUGGGUAAAUCGAUUUGUAGACAUACCAAUGCAUAAGAAAAGCAUCAUAUGUCAUAGCGACAAUGACAGAGUAGUAGGGCAUGAAGCAACAUUGAAAAAGUAAUUAAACCCCACAAAAAGUUAUAGUGGCAUUAUUACUAAUGUUAACAGAAAAAAUUAGCUCUGAACUAAAGGAUCAAAGCGACAUGUGAUAUCUUAAUAGGAAAUUGCACCUAUUCCAAUCUAAAUAGGGGUUUAUUUAUUGC
rnacentral:lncRNA from 1 species